GACGAACGCUGGCGGCGUGCCUAAUACAUGCAAGUAGAACGCACAGUUUAUACCGUAGCUUGCUACACCAUAGACUGUGAGUUGCGAACGGGUGAGUAACGCGUAGGUAACCUGCCUGGUAGCGGGGGAUAACUAUUGGAAACGAUAGCUAAUACCGCAUAAUAUUGAUUAUUGCAUGAUAAUUGAUUGAAAGAUGCUAUUGCAUCACUACCAGAUGGACCUGCGUUGUAUUAGCUAGUAGGUGAGGUAACGGCUCACCUAGGCGACGAUACAUAGCCGACCUGAGAGGGUGAUCGGCCGCACUGGGACUGAGACACGGCCCAGACUCCUACGGGAGGCAGCAGUAGGGAAUCUUCGGCAAUGGACGAAAGUCUGACCGAGCAACGCCGCGUGAGUGAAGAAGGUUUUCGGAUCGUAAAGCUCUGUUGUAAGAGAAGAACGGGUGUGAGAGUGGAAAGUUCACACUGUGACGGUAGCUUACCAGAAAGGGACGGCUAACUACGUG
rnacentral:rRNA from 1 species